CAGAGUUCGUGCCCUCACGGGUAGAUCUCCCACCCUGUGUUAUUAUACCUUUGUUGCUUUGGCGGGCCGCCCUCGGCUACCGGCCCCGGCUGGUACGCGCCCGCCAGAGGACCCCAAACUCUGAAUGUUAGUGUCGUCUGAUAAUUUUUAAAAUAAAAUUA
rnacentral:misc_RNA from 1 species